GGGUUUCCCAGGUGGCUCAGUGGUGAAGAACUGCCUGCCAAGGCUGGAGACGCAGGAGACAUGGGUUCGAUCCCUGGAUUGGGAAGACCCCCUAGAGGAGGAAAUGGCAACCCACUCCAGUAUUCUUGCCUGGAAAAUCCCGUGGACAGAGAAGCCGGGUGGACUCCAGUCCAUGGAGUCCCAAGAGUCAGGCACAACUUAGUGACUAAACCACUAUAUUCUCCAGAGUGACUGUAUCAACUGCAUUCCCACCAACAGAGCAAGAGGGUUCCCUUUUCUCCACAUCCUCUCCAGCAUUUAUUAUUUGCAGAUUUUUUAAUAAUGACCCUUCUGACCAGUGUGAGGUCUAAAAUCAAAGUCUUCAUCUGACUAAUUUUUCUGCAUAAAGCUGUACACCCUGAAUUAUCUGGCAUUUGUAGAGAAUGAAGGAACCAAACCAGCACAGAAUAAGCCUCAAGAUAUUUUUGAAGACAGUGAUGCACCUCCUCAUCUUCUCUCUCCAGCCUCUUCCUAAUAACGGCUUCCUGUGAACACUGUGGACU
ensembl:lncRNA